ACGCGUCAAGUAGAGCCUGACUACCCGCUUAAUUAAGCAUA
rnacentral:rRNA from 1 species